GUGGUGGCUCAGUGGUAGAGUGCCCGCCUAGCAUGUGUGAGAUACUGCAUUCGAUCCUCAGCACCACA
rnacentral:tRNA from 1 species